rnacentral:rRNA from 1 species
GACGAACGCUGGCGGCGUGCUUAAUACAUGCAAGUCAACUUGACUUUAGAUAGCAAUAUCGAAAAGUAGGGUGGCGCACGGGUGCGUAACGCGUAGGUAAUCUGCCCUGAGGUCUGACAUAACCCGUCGAAAGGCGGGCUAACAUCAGAUGAUAUAUAAUCACGACAUCGUGGGAAUAUCAAAUCUUCGGAGCCUUGGGAUGAGCCUGCGUCUGAUUAGGUAGUUGGCGGAGUAAUAGCCCACCAAGCCUACGAUCAGUAGCUGGUCUGAGAGGAUGAUCAGCCACACUGGAACUGAGACACGGUCCAGACUCCUACGGGAGGCAGCAGUAAGGAAUAUUGCUCAAUGGGGGAAACCCUGAAGCAGCAACGCCGCGUGAAGGAUGAAAUACUUUGUAUGUAAACUUCUGUAAGAUGGGAAAAAUAUUACUCCUCGGGAGAAUUGAUUGUACCAUCAGAGUAAGCCCCGGCUAACCU